UAUAAAAUUAUAUAAUUAAAUAUAUUAAUUUUAAAUAUUAAUUAAAUUUUUUAUUAUAUUAUUUAUUAUUUUUAUUA
rnacentral:tRNA from 1 species